rnacentral:lncRNA from 1 species
AUGGGUAGGACAACCAGAAUCUGGAGAACUGGAUUAACAGUGAGUGGAUGUCUUAGUGCUGGAUUGCUGCAGGACAUGGGAGGUUGUCAGUCAGAGAGAGAGACCAGGAAGCUUUCCCUGACAGCAGCACAACAAUGGGCAGCACUGCUGUACUGCUGCAGGACAGACAGACGGACAGGCAGCACUGCUGUACUGCUGCUGGACAGACAAACAGGCAGCCCCUGCAGUGCUGAGGCCACUCUGGAAGGGAGCAGUGAGACCCCAGGGCAUGACCUGCCUCAUUUUGCCCCAGGAUGGUGUCCCAGGCUCGUUCUGCACACAGGAAGACUGCAAGGAGGAGCUGAGCCAGAACUGUGAGAUGCCCUGGAAGAAAGGACUGCUAUGCAAUAAGUUACAACUUUAUGACUGUGUAAAAAUAAAAAAGCAACUCAAACAAUUAUUGUUAUACCU